CAUUUCCGAUUUGAUCACGUAGCGAAACUCAGAGCAUAGCUUUCUCCAUCGCCGGCUGUGUGACUCUGACCUUUCUUAUGAAGCCCAUAGAGAUCUAGCCUCCAUAU